rnacentral:misc_RNA from 1 species
UCCGGUUUGUCACCGGCAGUCUCAUUAGAGUGCCCUUGCGUAGCAACUAAUGAUAAGGGUUGCGCUCGUUGCGGGACUUAACCCAACAUCUCACGACACGAGCUGACGACGGCCAUGCAGCACCUGUGUUCUGGUUCUCUUUCAGGCACACCCGCCUUUCAGCAGGCUUCCAGACAUGUCAAGGGUAGGUAAGGUUGUUCGCGUUGCAUCGAAUUAAUCCACAUCAUCCACCGCUUGUGCGGGUCCCCGUCAAUUCCUUUGAGUUUUAGCCUUGCGGCCGUACUCCCCAGGCGGGACACUUAUUGCGUUGGCUUCGGCACGGAGGGGGUCGAUACCCCCCACACCUAGCAUCCACCGUUUAGGGCGUGGACUAC